GUCAGCUUACCCUGUGAAGGAUAAAUAGUAAGCAAAAUGAACAAAGCUCAAAACGUCAGGCCGAGGUGUAGCGAACGAGGUGGGAAGAAAUGGGCUACAUUUUCUACCAUAGAAUACUCACGAAUGACAUCCUGAAACACAUGCCUGAAGGUGGAUUUAGUAGUAAAAAGAAAACAGAGUGUUCUUUUGAAUCUGGCUCUGAGACGCGCACACACCGCCCGUCACCCUCCCCACUCAACCAUAAAUCAAGUAUUUAACACACCAACCUCA
rnacentral:rRNA from 1 species